AUGAGAGCUACAUGUAUCAAAAAGAUGAAUUGGUAAGGAUACUAAUGCACUAAGAAAGAAUCAUAGCAUCAUGAGUUGACUCCUUAGGUUCAAGAGUCAACUCCUCAAUACAAAAAAAUAGUUCAAGAAGUUUUGAUCCAAAGAAUAAUGGCUCAAAUGAAAUAUGGAUCAAUGGCAAACCAAAUCAAUGAUCAAAAAAGAUAUUCAGAUCAAUUUGAGGGAUCAAAAAUUAAUCAAUUAGGAGUAUGAUAAUCAAUCAAAUCAAAUAAGAUUAAAUCAGGAGGA
rnacentral:lncRNA from 1 species